rnacentral:rRNA from 1 species
UACGUAGGGUGCGAGCGUUGUCCGGAUUUAUUGGGCGUAAAGAGCUCGUAGGCGGCUUGUCGCGUCGGAUGUGAAAGCCCGGGGCUUAACUCCGGGUCUGCAUUCGAUACGGGCAGGCUAGAGUGUGGUAGGGGAGAUCGGAAUUCCUGGUGUAGCGGUGAAAUGCGCAGAUAUCGGGAAGAACACCCGUGGCGAAGGCGGUUCUCUGGGACGGUACUGACGCUGAGACGCGAAAGCGUGGGGAGCGAACAGG